rnacentral:rRNA from 1 species
GUGGGGAAUAUUGGACAAUGGGCGCAAGCCUGAUCCAGCCAUGCCGCGUGAGUGAUGAAGGUCUUAGGAUUGUAAAGCUCUUUCACCGGUGAAGAUAAUGACGGUAACCGGAGAAGAAGCCCCGGCUAACUUCGUGCCAGCAGCCGCGGUAAUACGAAGGGGGCUAGCGUUGUUCGGAUUUACUGGGCGUAAAGCGCACGUAGGCGGACAUUUAAGUCAGGGGUGAAAUCCCAGGGCUCAACUCUGGAACUGCCUUUGAUACUGGGUGUCUGGAGUAUGGAAGAGGUAAGUGGAAUUCCGAGUGUAGAGGUGAAAUUCGUAGAUAUUCGGAGGAACACCAGUGGCGAAGGCGGCUUACUGGUCCAUUACUGACGCUGAGGUGCGAAAGCGUGGGGAGCAAACAGG